CCCUUAGAUGUUCUGGGCAGCACGCGCGCUACAAUGGUCUUCGCAAACGGAUGCAUUCUCGAAGGAGAAUGCCAAUCUUGGAAUCUAUGCCUUGGUCGGGACAGUUGCUUGCAAUUUUUCGACUCGAACCAGGAAUUCCUUGUAAUCGUGAUUCAUCACAUCACGAUGAAUACGUCCCUGCCCUUUGUACACACCGCCCGUCGCUCCUACCGAUCGAAGAGUUAGGUGAAUUGUUUUGAUCGAUAAGAUUUGACUAUGGUCAACUCUCGUUGUGAAAUUCUGUGAAUCUGACUGUUGAGAGGAAGGAAAAGGCGUAACA
rnacentral:rRNA from 1 species